rnacentral:rRNA from 1 species
GACGAACGCUGGCGGCGUGCUUAACACAUGCAAGUCGAACGGAAAGGCCCUGCUUUUGUGGGGUGCUCGAGUGGCGAACGGGUGAGUAACACGUGAGUAACCUGCCCUUGACUUUGGGAUAGCUUCAGGAAACUGGGGCUAAUACCGGAUAGGAGCUCCUGCUGCAUGGUGGGGGUUGGAAAGUUUCGGCGGUUGGGGAUGGACUCGCGGCUUAUCAGCUUGUUGGUGGGGUAGUGGCUUACCAAGGCUUUGACGGGUAGCCGGCCUGAGAGGGUGACCGGCCACAUAGGGACGGAGAGACGGCCCAGACUCACACGGGAGGCAGCAGGGGGGAAUACUGCAUAAUGGGCGGAAGCCUGAUGCAGCAACGCCGCGUGCGGGAUGACGGACUUCGGGUUGUAAACCGCUUUCGCCUGUGACGAAGAGUGAGUGACGGUAAUGGGUAAAGAAGCAUCGGCUAACUACGUG